rnacentral:rRNA from 1 species
AUUGAACGCUGGCGGCAGGCCUAACACAUGCAAGUCGAACGGUAACAGGAAGCAGCUUGCUGCUUUGCUGACGAGUGGCGGACGGGUGAGGAAUGUCUGGGACACUGCCUGAUGGAGGGGGAUAACUACUGGAACCGGUAGCUCAUACCGCAUAACGUCGCAAGACCAAAGAGGGGGACCUUCGGGCCUCUUGCAAUCGGAUGUGCCCAGAUGGGAUUAGCUAGUAGGUGGGGUAACGGCUCACCUAGGCGACGAUCCCUAGCUGGUCUGAGAGGAUGACCAGCCACACUGGAGCUGAGACACGGUCCAGACUCCGACGGGAGGCAGCAGUGGGGAAUAUUGCACAAUGGGCGGAAGCCUGAUGCAGCCAUGCCGCGUGUAUGAAGAAGGCCUUCGGGUUGUAAAGUACGUUCAGCGGGGAGGAAGGGAGUAAAGUUAAGACCUUUGCUCAUUGACGUUACCCGCAGAAGAAGCACCGGCUAACUCCGU